GCCAUAGCAUAGUGGUAUGUGCCAGAUUCCAGCAUUUAGUAGCAUCUUCUGGAGUUCCAGGUUCAGUUCCUGGCCAUGUCA